ACUCGUGAUUCCCUUGUACACUCCCAACUUCCACUACCCCUUGGGGCCCGCUCUGCAGCCUGGGCACAGGCUGUGAUGCCAGCAUUCAAGAGGCUGUGUAUGCCCCUUCCAAAGGCUCCUGCCCAACCCAGCUCACCCACAGCUGCCCAGGACGAAGUUCUCCUGCUUGGCGGGGCCCUCGGUGCUGGGGCCUGGGAGAGUGAAGCGGAGAGAGGCCUCCUGUGGAAGACAGCGCAGUGCCAACACCUCACCUUGGUCUGGUCAGUUUUCCAUUCCAAGGCCAGGACCCUGUGGAUAGGGAGGAUGGCAGGCCCGGCGGGACCGGCGGGUGCGUUACCUUGAGGAUGUCCUGCAGCUGUCCCAGCACAGCGUGCACCUCAGCGUGCAGUAACCAGCGAAACUCCUCCUCCUGCGGACAGCGCGGCGUCAAACCCAUACCAUCCCUGCCGCCGG
rnacentral:lncRNA from 1 species